UCCCAUACCCCGUUCUGCACCGAAGCGCUGCACCCAAAGCGCUGCGUUGCAGUCCUGCGCUGCAAUCCUGGGCCAAAAGCAGGUGCCAAAGUCCUGCACCAAAGCCCUGCAGCGAAGUCCCACAUGCAAAAUCCUGCAUCCAAAAUCCUGCAACCAAAGCCCUGCAGCAAAAUCCCACACCCAAAAUCCUCCGUCAAAGUCCUGCACCCAAAAUCCUGCGUCCAAAGCCCUGCAUCCAAACCCCUGCAGCAAAAUCCCACACCCGAAGUGCUGCAUCCAAAGCCCUGCAGCAAAAUCCCACACCCCAAAUCCUGCAACCAAAGCCCUGCAGCAAAAUCCCUGCAUCAAAAUCCUGCAACCAAAGUCCUACACCCAAAACCCUGCAGCCAAAAUCCCACACCCGAAGUGCUGCAUCCAAAGCCCUGCAGCAAAAUCCCACACCCAACGUCCUGCACCAAAGUGCCGCAUUCAAAGCCCUGUGCCAAAAUCAGGUGCCAAAGCCCUGCACCAAAGUCCUGCACCGAAGUCCUGCACCACAGUCCUGCACCCAAAGCCCCAUACUCAGUUCUGCACCAAAGUGCUGCAGCCAAAAUCCUGCAACCAAAGCCCUGCAGCAAAAUCCCACACCCAAAUCCUGCGCCAAAGUCCUGCACCCAAAACCAUGCAUCAAAGUCCUGCACCAAAGUCCUGCACACGAAGUCCUGCACCAAAUUCCUGCACCGAAAUCCUGCACCGAAGUCCUGCACCACAGUCCUGCACCCAAAGCCCCAUACUCAGUUCUGUACCAAAGUGCUGCAGCCAAAAUCCUGCAACCAAAGCCCUGCAGCAAAAUCCCACACCCAAAAUCCUGCAACCAAAGCCCUGCAGCAAAAUCCCUGCAUCAAAAUCCUGCAACCAAAGUCCUACACCCAAAACCCUGCAGCCAAAAUCCCACACCCGAAGUGCUGCAUCCAAAGCCCUGCAGCAAAAUCCCACACCCAACGUCCUGCACCAAAGGGCCGCAUUCAAAGCCCUGUGCAAAAAUCAGGUGCCAAAGCCCUGCACCAAAGUCCUGCACCGAAGUCCUGCACCACAGUCCUGCACCCAAAGCCCCAUACUCAGUUCUGCACCAAAGUGCUGCAGCCAAAAUCCUGCAACCACAGCCCUGCAGCAAAAUCCCACACCCAAAAUCCUGCGCCAAAGUCCUGCACCCAAAACCCUGCAACCAAAGUCCUGCAACCAAAGCCCUGCAGCAAAAUCCCACGCCCAAAGUCCUGCACCAAAGGGCCGCAUUCAAAGCCCUGUGCCAAAAUCAGCUGCCAAAGCUCUGCAACAAAGUCCUGCACUGAAGUCCUGCACCAAAGUCGUGCACCCAAAGCCCCAUACUCAGUUCUGCACCAAAGUCCUGCACCCAAAACCCUGCAUCAAAAUCUUGCAACCAAAGCCCUGCGUCCAAACCCCUGCAGCAAAGUCCUGCAUCCAAAAUCCUGCAUCCAAAGCCCUGCAGCAAAAUCCCACACCCAAAGUCCUGCACCAAAGUCCUGCAACCAAAGCCCUGCAUCCAAACCCCUGCAGCAAAGUCCCACACCCAAAAACCCUGCAUCAAAAUCCUGCAACCAAAGCCCUGCGUCCAAAGCCAUGCAGCAAAAUCCCACACCCAAAGUCUUGCACCAAAGCCCUGCACCCAAAAUCCUGCACCCAAACUCUGCACCCAAAGCCCUGCACCGAACAUCCUGCAACCAAAGCCAUGCAGGAAAACCCCACAGCCAAAGUCCUGCACCAAACCAUGCAGCAAAGCUGCAGCAAAGCCCUACACCCCCAAUGCUGCACCCAAAGCACUGCACCCAAAGCCCUGCACCGAACAUCCUGCAACCAAAGCCAUGCACUGAACAUCCUGCAACCAAAGGCAUGCAGGGAAACCCCACAGCCAAAGUCCUGCACCAAACCAUGCAGCAAAGCCCUACACCCCCAAUCCUGCACCAAACAUCCUGCAACCAAAGGCAUGCAGGGAAACCCCACAGCCAAAGUCCUGCACCAAACCAUGCAACAAAGCCCUACACCCCCAAUCCUGCACCCAAAGCCCUGCACCGAACAUCCUGCAACCAAAGCCAUGCAGGAAACCCAAAGCCAAAGUCCUGCACCAAACCACACAGCAAAGCCCUACACCCCCAAUCCUGCACCCCUCAACGCUGCAUCCAAAGCCCUGCACCGAACAUCCUGCAACCAAAGCCAUGCAGGAAAAUCCCACAGCCAAAGUCCUGCACCAAACUAUGCAGCAAAGCUGCAGCAAAGCCCUGCAUCCCCAAUCCUGCACCCUCAACGCUGGAUCCAAAGCCCUGCACCGAACAUCCUGCAACCAAAGCCAUGCAGGAAACCCCCACAGCCGAAGUCCUGCACCAAACCAUGCAGCAAAGCCCUACAACCCCAAUACUGCACCCAAAGCGCUGCACCCUCAAUCCUGCACCCCAAAGCCAUGCAGGGAAACCCCACACCCAAAGUCCUGCACCAAACCAUGCAGCAAAGCCCUACACCCCCAAUCCUGCACCCUCAAAGCUGCAUCCAAAGCCCUGCACCGAACAUCCUGCAACCAAAGCCAUGCAGGGAAACCCCACAGCCAAAGUCCUGCACCAAACCAUGCAGCAAAGCCCUACACCCCCAAUCCUGCACCCUCAAUGCUGCACCCAAAGCCCUGCACUGAACAUCCUGCAACCAAAGCCAUGCAGGGAAACCCCACAGCCAAAGUCCUGCACCAAACCAUGCAACAAAGCCCUACACCCCCAAUCCUGCACCCAAAGCCCUGCACCGAACAUCCUGCAACCAAAGCCAUGCAGGAAACCCCCACAGCCAAAUCCUGCACCAAACCAUGCAACAAAGCCCUACACCCCCAAUCCUGCACCCAAAGCCCUGCACCGAACAUCCUGCAACCAAAGCCAUGCAGGAAACCCCAAAGCCAAAGUCCUGCACCAAACCACACAGCAAAGCCC
rnacentral:lncRNA from 1 species